UACGUAGGGGUGCAAGCGUUAAUCGGAAUUACUGGGCGUAAAGCGUGCGCAGGCGGUUUUGUAAGUCUGUCGUGAAAAGCCCCGGGCUCAACCUGGGAAUUGCGAUGGAGACUGCAAGGCUUGAAUCUGGCAGAGGGGGGUAGAAUUCCACGUGUAGCAGUGAAAUGCGUAGAGAUGUGGAGGAACACCGAUGGCGAAGGCAGCCCCCCUGGGUCAAGAUUGACGCUCAUGCACGAAAGCGUGGGGAGCAAACAGG
rnacentral:rRNA from 1 species